rnacentral:rRNA from 1 species
UACGUAGGGUGCAAGCGUUAUCCGGAAUUAUUGGGCGUAAAGAGCUCGUAGGCGGUUUGUCGCGUCUGCUGUGAAAACUGGGGGCUCAACCCCCAGCCUGCAGUGGGUACGGGCAGACUAGAGUCCGGGAGAGGAGAGUGGAAUUCCUGGUGUAGCGGUGAAAUGCGCAGAUAUCAGGAAGAACACCCGUGGCGAAAGCGGCUCUCUGGAACGGUACUGACGCUCAUGCACGAAAGCGUGGGGAGCAAACAGG